UACGGAGGAUGCAAGCGUUAUCCGGAUUUAUUGGGUUUAAAGGGUGCGCAGGUUGUUUGAUAAGUCAGUGGUGAAAGUCUGUCGCUUAACGGUAGGAUUGCCAUUGAUACUGUUAGACUUGAAUAUGGAUGAGGUAGGCGGAAUGUGUAGUGUAGCGGUGAAAUGCAUAGAUAUUACACAAAACACCGAUUGCGAAGGCAGCUUACUAAUCCAUCAUUGACGCUGAGGCACGAAAGCGUGGGGAUCAAACAGGA
rnacentral:rRNA from 1 species